GACGGGUGAGUAAUGUCUGGGAAACUGCCUGAUGGAGGGGGAUAACUACUGGAAACGGUGGCUAAUACCGCAUAACGUCGCAAGACCAAAGAGGGGGACCUUCGGGCCUCUUGCCAUCAGAUGUGCCCAGAUGGGAUUAGCUUGUUGGUGAGGUAACGGCUCACCAAGGCGACGAUCCCUAGCUGGUCUGAGAGGAUGACCAGCCACACUGGAACUGAGACACGGUCCAGACUCCUACGGGAGGCAGCAGUGGGGAAUAUUGCACAAUGGGCGCAAGCCUGAUGCAGCCAUGCCGCGUGUAUGAAGAAGGCCUUCGGGUUGUAAAGUACUU
rnacentral:rRNA from 1 species